rnacentral:lncRNA from 1 species
CCAAAAUUUUUCUCCAAAAGUCUUCUUCUUGCACGCCCCACUCUUCUCCUCCUUUUAUAACCACGUCAAACGUCUUAUCCAAAAGAAAGGAUAAAGAUGAGUAAUUGCACAUUUGAAUUCAAAUCAAAUUUUGAAUUCAAAUAGACACCAACUCAUCCCUUAUCCACUAAAGGCGUGAGGCAUGGCUUAAAUUGUGUAUGGAGUGAUUUCAUGAGAAACCUUUUCUCAUGUAAUAAAUGAGGCGUAAAAAAAGGGAUAAGGUGCAAAGAUUGAUUGCCCAUUCAAAUUCAAACUUUAUUUUGAAUUUGAAUGGCCAACCAAUCAUCCUUAUCCAUUCAUAUGGCAUAUUAAAGUGGGGCGUGGAGAGGGCUUGGCGUGAGGAAAAAAUUCAUGAGAAGUUCCUUCUCAUGAAUUCAAAUGGGUGCAAUGGAAGUGAGGUGGCGCAUGGAGAUUGGGUCAAGGUGGUUUAAUUAUUUAAACCAACCUAAUUAAACCAAAUAAGUUAGGU